UCCUCGUUGUGGCCUAGUGGUUAGCGAGUCGGACUUGUAACCUGAAGGUCGUGGGUUCGAGUCUCAGAUCUGGCA